GAGAGAGACAGAACACGAGUGGGGGAGGGGGCAGAGUGAGCAAGGGACACAGAAUCAUCGGAAGCAGGCUCUAGGCUCUGAGCUGUCAGCACAGAACCCAAUGCGGGGCUUGAACCCACGAGCCUUGAGAUCAUGACCUGAGCCGAAGUCGGACCCCCAACUGACUGAGCCCCCCGGGCGCCCCUACAACGAUAUCUACCCAGCGAUAGGCCACAAAUAUCUCUCCCUGUUUAGAAACACAGGGUCACUGCUAAUGAAUGAUGCCAUUCCAUAUAUACAUAUAUGCAUGUAUCUUAAUUUGUUUAAACAAAUUAAUUGUUGCACUGUAGGAUGUUUCCACUUUUAUGAACCUACUAUGAUAAACAGAUUUCUACAGUCACCUUUGCGCCAGGUAGAUGUCGUAUUCUGGUCAUCCUUUUGCAUACGAGGAGACUGACGCACAGAAAUGUUACAAAAAACCCACAAAACUUCCCAAGGUCACAGCUAAGGGGCGACUGAAUCAGAGUUUCUAGUUGGGAUUUCUUUCCAGCAAGUCUGUUUUCUCCUUUUCUUCUUCUUCUUUUUGUAAAGUUUAUUUUAAAACGGUGGGGGCGGGGGGGGGGCAGAGAGAGAGGGAGAGAGAGAAUCUCAAGCAGGCAACGCACCGCCAGAGCAGAGCCCAACGUGGGGCCCGAACCCACGAACUGUAACAUCAUGACCUGAGCCGAAAUCACUGAGACACUUUUAACCGACUGAGCCACCCAGGCGCCCUUGUUUUCUCCCUUUCUUUAGAGUAACUGUGCUCUCCACCUACCUCCCUGAUGCCUUUUUCUCUCACAGAUUGCCGGUGAGAACCGGUCUGGGCAGGUGACCCACUUCCUUCUCUGACACCUUUUUAAUUUCAUUAGGGUCCACGUCUGGGGGUAGUUGGGAGGCACGAAAGCAGGUAAUAUGUGAGACGGGACCCGUGGUGCUGUAGUUACUAAAUUGUAAAGCUUAUGUGAAUGUCAGGAGCUACCAGCAAGGGCCUAGAUACACAGUCAGACACCUGCCAAGACUGUUCAGCCAAGUCCCCUCUGCUUCCCCAACCGAGGAAGGAACGCCAGAUUCCCAUGAGAGAGGAAGAAAUCAGCAGUUGUGAGGCAGACUCAGUAAACGGAGGCCUCUCCUGGGCAUGCCAUGGUUGCCUGCCUAGAGCUGAAACGGGAAGGAAGGUUUGUUAUUAUAAGGUUUACUAAUCCUCAUGAUUUCCCCGAGGGAGGAUGCAUUCAUGCCACAGGCCUUCCAGAAUGUUCAUGCCCAUCUCUGAAAAUCUGAGGAAUCUUGUAAGCUGAGAAAAGGGAUGAAACACAGCUCUUCAGUGUCUCGAUUGAUGUGUUCGCCAGAGUAACCGCUUGGAGAUUAGCAGGAGGAAUGACAGGGUGCCAUCGAAUAAUCCAGCUCCUCUGACCCCUUCCUUGUGACCGAUGGUGCACAUCUGUGCGGCAGUGAAAAAACCCAGGCCAGACCCUCAAGGGGCUUCCAGUCCCUAGAAGCGACAGGCAAGCAAACAGGAAGUUAAUUCUGCAGGACGCAAUUAGGUCUCCUCCCUUGGGAACGUUCGAAGACCUAACGGUAAAGAGGAACCAGCGUUUUGGUUGCUGCUGGUUUGGGCUCCGGGCUGAAUAGACCAUCUAUUGUGAAAGUGUAUUGUGCACAAGGAGAAUGGGGCUUUUUAUGAAGGGAAAUCAAGAGGGUGCCCGGUGGUAGGGUGGUAACUGCUAGGC